rnacentral:ncRNA from 1 species
GACAUGGCAUUGCAUUAGAGAGUAUCUAUAAAGACGACUUUAGCGAGUACAUGGUUGGUGAGAAUGUAUGCGGCUUUAUUUGAGAAGGUAGCUAAUGGGCUGUGUUGGUGAAUUAAGUGAGUAGCCACACCGUGUAAAACGCGUUAAGUUUUUAAUGAGAUGGGGCUUUGACCUCAAUUCAGGUGGUACCGCGAGUUAAUUAGUCGCCCUGUUU